UACGUAGGGCGCCAGCGUUGUUCGGAAUUACUGGGCGUAAAGGGCUCGUAGGCGGCCUACUAAGUCAGACGUGAAAUCCCUCGGCUUAACCGGGGAACUGCGUCUGAUACUGGAUGGCUUGAGUUUGGGAGAGGGAUGCGGAAUUCCAGGUGUAGCGGUGAAAUGCGUAGAUAUCUGGAGGAACACCGGUGGCGAAGGCGGUUCUCUGGGCCUUACCUGACGCUGAGGCGCGAAAGCGUGGGGAGCAAACAGG
rnacentral:rRNA from 1 species